GAGGGUAUAGUUCAGUGGUAGAGCACUUGCUUGUCAUGUAUGAAGUCCUGGUUCAAUCCCCAGUGCCUCCA
rnacentral:tRNA from 1 species